CAGUCUGUAGUGCUACAUCUAAACGGAGCACCACUGCAGAAAGAAAACUGUCAGUACCACUUUAAGCACCCUGAGCCGGCUGUGACGUUUUGCUGUUUGAACACAGCACAGCCGUGUGAGGCAACAGUGCUGUUUGGUGACAGCGAUGUGGCUGUAGGAUCACCAUGUGUGACGUACCAAUUCAACAAAACUCAUCAAUCUAAUUCAAGUCUUGUGCUUGGAUACAAAGUCUGCAAUUCUUCAGAGUGGGCGCAGGAGUACAGAUGCUUUUUUACAUGGGAUAAUGCAGACCACACUACUGCUAAUACAGGAAUUAUAGUUACCGUUGUUCUAGUGCUGAUUGCCCUUGUAUGCUGUACUGUGGGUGGUGUUUAUUACUUCUACAGAAGAAAAAAAGGAAUCAAGACAUCUAUACAGGUUGAACAAACGAAACCGAUGAUGUAGGCUUUUUUUAUUUACUUUUUAAAACAAGAACGCCAUGAUACUUUAAAUGACUUCAAUAUUUUACUGUGUUUUUGUGUUUGUAUAUUUUAUAUCUAUGGAAAAAAAACAUUACGAAGAAAUGCAAGUUUAAUUUCUCACUAUUACUCAGAGGCGUAGCAACCCCUCCCGCCGCCUGGGGACAAACUUUCAACUUGGCGCCCCCC